rnacentral:sRNA from 1 species
AUAUCUCUCCGUACGGGAAGGAUGAGAAGCUUCGACUAAGGUUCGAUUCGAGCGAAAGCGAGAAAGCGUUGCCAACG